GAGUCACUGGCAAGCUUCGUUUGGAACCCAUAGAAGGAGACGACGCACCAUGAUGGAGGAGAUCGAGUGAUUGAACUCCAAAACCCUAAUCAGAAUUUUCGAUUCCAAUGGAGGAGAAACACCGCGAUGCCGCAUCUCCAACUCCUUCCACCACCACCGACUCACCCGCAUCUAAGCCUACCUCAACGUGCCACCGUGCCGAAGCUCUGAAGAGCAAGGCCAGCUCCCUCUCACUAUAGCACGUCAAAUCCACGCGGUGGCAUUGCUGCGUCGUCUUCCCCAGCAAGUUCUGCUUUUGCUCCGGCGGAUGUGAAGCACUCAGAGCACAGUUUGGGCGUGGACUCAGUGCCGCUGGCUGAGGAGAUCUGAGAGAAGAGCAAAACAGAGAGAUUCAGAAAGGAGAGAGAGCUCGCCUCGCCGUCGUCGUUGCUGUCGCCACCACAGUUCAUCGCCUCUCCAGAUCUGGUCACAACACCCAAGCCUCUGAGGAUGUUCCAUUACGAUCUCCUCAACGAGACACAGAACAAGCUCGAUUACAUUCUCUCUCUCUCACUGUCGAGAACUUCCUCGGGCGCCGCCUCCAUAUUCUUGUCUUCAAGUCCGUCAUGGCCAAGUCCAUCCAUCAGUGCAUAUUAGGGCAUAGAAGAAGCUCUCAACUGUUGGAUUGUGGGAGAGUAAAAAGAAAGCCUCAGUGGAGGCACAACUCAAGAUAAUUGAGGAAAACUUGAAAAGAAAGAAAGCAGAAUAUGCAGAAAAUAUGAAGAAUAAGAUAGCUGAUAUUCAUAGGUCAGCAGAAGAGAAAAAGGCAAUGAUUGAAGCUCAAAAGAAGGAAGAGUUUAUCGAGUUAGAGAAAACAGCUGCAAAAUUUUGUAGUAGUGGUCCUACA